UUCUUCUGUGAUAUGUUUUCAUGGUGUGGGAAUAAGACUUGGUGGUCUAAUACAGCUAAUACGAAGGUUAGCAUCACAGCUUGUCUGUAAAGAUUGAAGCUGGGAGUGGGCAUUGGAGCUGACUUUUAUGGUAACUGUGGCUGCAUAAAAGGGCUAUGUGAUUUUACUGUAACAGUAAAGAAUGUAAUUCAGACUAUUUUUGUGUAUGUUUGAGAAAAUGUUAAUUU